rnacentral:lncRNA from 1 species
GCAGAACCUCGGUCACGGCUCAGCCCCCGGACCCGAGACCUAGAGAGAGGAGGGGGAUUUGGCCAAGGUCACGCGGCCAUUCAGGGCUGGAAGUCAGGGCUCCCGCCUCCCAGUUCUGAACACUUACCCCCCAAAUUACUACUACUCGCCGAAGCUUUGUUGAGAAACAGAGCAUUGAGGCUUGACAAACUUGGGGCCAAGCCCUUUAUCGGCCUGAUCAGAUUCCGUUCCUCAGUAGCCCCAUCAGGUCGGUGACCCUACUUGGUCACUUUCUGGAGGGAAGAGAGCCCAGAGAAAUUCAGUUCUAUAACCAAGGUCGCACAGCUAGUCAAUUGUGAAGUCGGGAUUCGAACCUGGACCAGACAUUUAGCAUGGAGCACCUGCUGCUCGCAUCACUGAGCUGGGAGACGAAGUGAGUGAAUGGGAAGUGGGGCCCUGACCUGCCCUCACGGAGCUUCCACUCUCGUGAUAUAUAGAUGGUCAGGUCAUAGCUACAAUAAAGGUUAGACAGUUGUAAUCUGGAAGCUAUGACUUGCUGUGAUGGCCCUCAGCAGGUGGACCCAACCUAACCUGGACCUCUGAACGAAGGUAAUGUUAAGUUGUGACCAGAAAGACAAACGGAAUCCAGUAAGACUAAGAAGAAAUUAAUUACCUUAAGGAGGCCGAGAAGCCCCACAGACUGCCAGGGACGGGGGUGUAAAUCCUGGAGUCCAAAUGCCAAGAAGCUGGAGCUCUGAAGUCUGAAGGCAGGAGAAGAUGGAGGCCCCAGCUCAAGAAGAGAGACAGCGAAUUUGGCCUUUCUUCGCCUUUUGUUCCAUUCGGGCCCUCAGAGGAUUGGAUGAUACCCGCCCACACUGCUGAGCUGAGCUGGACACUGUCAUCCCACCUACAAGACGUGGAACUGGGACCCACAGAGGCUCCAUGACGUGGCCUGCGUACCACGGCUGUUUAGUGCCUGCACUCAGACUGGAACUCAGGUUUCCUGACCCCAUCCUGUGUCCUGGAUCCCUUAAACAAACUCACUUCUUUUGGGUUUAACGGCACAUUUGGGUCUUCAGAAGGCUUCUUUGAACGUGAGAGUGUGCUCCUGACCUUCCAGGCAGCUCCUCUUCCCAGCAAAGUCAAGCCAAGAGUUUACCUUAACCCCUGAAGAGAAAGGUAUAGGAAGGAAAGGCACCGUUACUAUGAUUAUUCUUUGUUAAGUGGCUAGAGUCCUGGUCUACUAGUAAGAAGAGGAGAGGUAGUUCUGGCUGGGGUAUAUGACCUCGCACUUUGGUUUAGUUUUAUACCUAUCUGUACAAUAGUAGAGAGACGGGGAUGGGACUAAAUGAUCUGGUAAGAUUCUCUUUGUCCUUGCAUGUGAAGCCUCUGAGCCUCUACCAUUCGAAGAUUCCAUUUACUGUCGAAGAGUCUGUGAGUGUUUGUUUCAAGCUUCUAUGAGAUUAGGAUUCUGUAACAGUGAGAGCCUCGUCCUGGGGUUCCAAGAUCCCAUGACUCACUCAAAAUUCUAUUGAAAGAUUCCAUUUGCUCUUAACUAUUCUUGUGGGUUUCUCCUUAAAUAGCACUUCCUCAGAAAUUCCUUCCUAACCCUUCCCCCAGCGCACUUUAUACACCCCUCCCCAUUGUCUCCCCUGGGAUCUCGUUUUUUUUCCCAUCAUAACACAGUCCUAAUUGGUAAUUAGAUAUUUGCUUGUGUGCUUUUGGUUAAUGCCUGUCUUCUCCACAUCUCUAUUGCUUGGUAAAGUCAAUACUCAGUGAAUAUUUGAUGAAUGAAAAAUAAAUGAAUG